rnacentral:lncRNA from 1 species
GUCAAGUGGCAAAAAUGGAAUUUUUGAUUUUUCUCUUCUAAAAUUUUAUUGCUUAUUUUGAAUUUUAAUAGAUAACUUUGAAAAAUUAAAUAAAAACAAAAAUUCACAAUGAAAAUUCAAACCAAAUGAUCGAUUAAUUCUAAAUAAAUAUGUUAAUCAUCUCGACUAAAAAACAAAAAUAAAUGGGUAAAAAAUGAAUAAAAC